CCCUUAGAUGUUCUGGGCUGCACGCGCGCUACACUGAUACUUUCAGCGAGUCCACCACCUUGCCUGGGAGGGUGGGGUAACCUCUGGAAAGUGCAUCGUGAUGGGGAUCGAUUAUUGUAAUUAUUAAUCUUCAACGAGGAAUUCCUAGUAAGCAUGUGUCAUCAGCCCGUGCUGAUUACGUCCCUGCCCUUUGUACACACCGCCCGUCGCACCUACCGAUUGGACGGUCCGGCGAAGCCUCGGGAUUGUGGUUCUUGCCGCUUUAUUGUGGCGUGACCGCGAGAACUUGUCUAAACCUUAUCAUCUAGAGGAAGGUGAAGUCGUAACA
rnacentral:rRNA from 1 species